UAGAUUAAGUUAUUAAGGGCGCACGGUGGAUGCCUUGGCACUAGAAGCCGAUGAAGGACGUUACUAACGACGAUAUGCUUUGGGGAGCUGUAAGUAAGCUUUGAUCCAGAGAUUUCCGAAUGGGGAAACCCAGCAUGAGUUAUGUCAUGUUAUCGAUAUGUGAAUACAUAGCAUAUCAGAAGGCACACCCGGAGAACUGAAACAUCUUAGUACCCGGAGGAAGAGAAAGAAAAUUCGAUUCCCUUAGUAGCGGCGAGCGAAACGGGAAGAGCCCAAACCAACAAGCUUGCUUGUUGGGGUUGUAGGACACUCUAUACGGAGUUACAAAGGACGACAUUAGACGAAUCAUCUGGAAAGAUGAAUCAAAGAAGGUAAUAAUCCUGUAGUCGAAAAUGUUGUCUCUCUUGAGUGGAUCCUGAGUACGACGGAGCACGUGAAAUUCCGUCGGAAUCUGGGAGGACCAUCUCCUAAGGCUAAAUACUCUCUAGUGACCGAUAGUGAACCAGUACCGUGAGGGAAAGGUGAAAAGCACCCCGGAAGGGGAGUGAAAUAGAACCUGAAACCGUGUGCUUACAAGUAGUCAGAGCCCGUUAAUGGGUGAUGGCGUGCCUUUUGUAGAAUGAACCGGCGAGUUACGAUUUGAUGCAAGGUUAAGCAGUAAAUGUGGAGCCGUAGCGAAAGCGAGUCUGAAUAGGGCGUUUAGUAUUUGGUCGUAGACCCGAAACCAGGUGAUCUACCCUUGGUCAGGUUGAAGUUCAGGUAACACUGAAUGGAGGACCGAACCGACUUACGUUGAAAAGUGAGCGGAUGAACUGAGGGUAGCGGAGAAAUUCCAAUCGAACCUGGAGAUAGCUGGUUCUCUCCGAAAUAGCUUUAGGGCUAGCCUCAAGUGAUGAUUAUUGGAGGUAGAGCACUGUUUGGACGAGGGGCCCCUCUCGGGUUACCGAAUUCAGACAAACUCCGAAUGCCAAUUAAUUUAACUUGGGAGUCAGAACAUGGGUGAUAAGGUCCGUGUUCGAAAGGGAAACAGCCCAGACCACCAGCUAAGGUCCCAAAAUAUAUGUUAAGUGGAAAAGGAUGUGGCGUUGCCCAGACAACUAGGAUGUUGGCUUAGAAGCAGCCAUCAUUUAAAGAGUGCGUAAUAGCUCACUAGUCGAGUGACACUGCGCCGAAAAUGUACCGGGGCUAAACAUAUUACCGAAGCUGUGGAUUGUCCUUUGGACAAUGGUAGGAGAGCGUUCUAAGGGCGUUGAAGCAUGAUCGUAAGGACAUGUGGAGCGCUUAGAAGUGAGAAUGCCGGUGUGAGUAGCGAAAGACGGGUGAGAAUCCCGUCCACCGAUUGACUAAGGUUUCCAGAGGAAGGCUCGUCCGCUCUGGGUUAGUCGGGUCCUAAGCUGAGGCCGACAGGCGUAGGCGAUGGAUAACAGGUUGAUAUUCCUGUACCACCUAUAAUCGUUUUAAUCGAUGGGGGGACGCAGUAGGAUAGGCGAAGCGUGCGAUUGGAUUGCACGUCUAAGCAGUAAGGCUGAGUAUUAGGCAAAUCCGGUACUCGUUAAGGCUGAGCUGUGAUGGGGAGAAGACAUUGUGUCUUCGAGUCGUUGAUUUCACACUGCCGAGAAAAGCCUCUAGAUAGAAAAUAGGUGCCCGUACCGCAAACCGACACAGGUAGUCAAGAUGAGAAUUCUAAGGUGAGCGAGCGAACUCUCGUUAAGGAACUCGGCAAAAUGACCCCGUAACUUCGGGAGAAGGGGUGCUCUUUAGGGUUAACGCCCAGAAGAGCCGCAGUGAAUAGGCCCAAGCGACUGUUUAUCAAAAACACAGGUCUCUGCUAAACCGUAAGGUGAUGUAUAGGGGCUGACGCCUGCCCGGUGCUGGAAGGUUAAGAGGAGUGGUUAGCUUCUGCGAAGCUACGAAUCGAAGCCCCAGUAAACGGCGGCCGUAACUAUAACGGUCCUAAGGUAGCGAAAUUCCUUGUCGGGUAAGUUCCGACCCGCACGAAAGGCGUAACGAUUUGGGCACUGUCUCAACGAGAGACUCGGUGAAAUCAUAGUACCUGUGAAGAUGCAGGUUACCCGCGACAGGACGGAAAGACCCCGUGGAGCUUUACUGUAGCCUGAUAUUGAAAUUCGGCACAGCUUGUACAGGAUAGGUAGGAGCCUUUGAAACGUGAGCGCUAGCUUACGUGGAGGCGCUGGUGGGAUACUACCCUAGCUGUGUUGGCUUUCUAACCCGCACCACUUAUCGUGGUGGGAGACAGUGUCAGGCGGGCAGUUUGACUGGGGCGGUCGCCUCCUAAAAGGUAACGGAGGCGCUCAAAGGUUCCCUCAGAAUGGUUGGAAAUCAUUCAUAGAGUGUAAAGGCAUAAGGGAGCUUGACUGCGAGACCUACAAGUCGAGCAGGGUCGAAAGACGGACUUAGUGAUCCGGUGGUUCCGCAUGGAAGGGCCAUCGCUCAACGGAUAAAAGCUACCCCGGGGAUAACAGGCUUAUCUCCCCCAAGAGUUCACAUCGACGGGGAGGUUUGGCACCUCGAUGUCGGCUCAUCGCAUCCUGGGGCUGUAGUCGGUCCCAAGGGUUGGGCUGUUCGCCCAUUAAAGCGGUACGCGAGCUGGGUUCAGAACGUCGUGAGACAGUUCGGUCCCUAUCCGUCGUGGGCGUAGGAAAUUUGAGAGGAGCUGUCCUUAGUACGAGAGGACCGGGAUGGACAUACCUCUGGUGUACCAGUUGUCGUGCCAACGGCAUAGCUGGGUAGCUAUGUGUGGACGGGAUAAGUGCUGAAAGCAUCUAAGCAUGAAGCCCCCCUCAAGAUGAGAUUUCCCAACUUCGGUUAUAAGAUCCCUCAAAGAUGAUGAGGUUAAUAGGUUCGAGGUGGAAGCAUGGUGACAUGUGGAGCUGACGAAUACUAAUCGAUCGAAGACUUAAUCAA
rnacentral:rRNA from 1 species